AACGCACCUUGCGCUCCUUGGUAUUCCGAGGAGCAUGCCUGUUUGAGUGUCAUGAAACUCUCAACCUUCAACUUUUUUAUUAAGGCUGAAGGCUUGGACUUGGGCGCUGCUGGUUUUUACUAACCGGCUCGCCUGAAAUGAAUUAGCAGAUCCUUUUUGUAAUCGGUUCCACUCGACGUGAUAAGUAUUUCGCCGAGGACAUACGCAAGUAUGGCCGAGAUAAAGGAAGUCUUUAGAUCCGCUUCUAAUUCUUAGAUAGAGCUUGCUCUACUAAACCCCAUUUUAUGAUCUGGCCUCAAAUCAGGUAGGACUACCCGCUGAACUUAA
rnacentral:misc_RNA from 2 species